AUUAACUUGGGGCAUUUCCCCCCCCAGCGUUCAUAGCGACGUUGCUUUUUGAUCCUUCGAUGUCGGCUCUUUCUAACAUUGUGAAGCAGAAUUCACCAAGUGUUGGAUUGUUCACCUACCAAUAAAAAACGUGAGCUGGGUUUAGACCGUCGUGAGACAGGUU
rnacentral:ncRNA from 1 species